rnacentral:rRNA from 1 species
CCCUUAGAUGUUCUGGGCCGCACGCGCGCUACACUGAUACAUGCAGCGAGUUUAUAACCUUGAUCUGACGGUCUGGGUAAUCUUCAAACUGUAUCGUGUUAGGGAUCGAUUCUUGCAAUUUUUAAUCGUAAACGAGGAAUUCCUAGUAAACGCAAGUCAUCAGCUUGCAUUGAUUACGUCCCUGCCCUUUGUACACACCGCCCGUCGACUCUACCGAUUGAAUGGUUCGGUGAAAACUUUGGACUGUGGCAUUGUCCUUCAUUGGACUUCGCCGUAGGAAAUUGUUUAAACCUCAUCAUUUAGAGGAAGAAUAAGUCGUAACA